GCGGCCGUAGUCCAGCCUGGUAGGACGUCAGAUUGCCAAUCUGGAGACCCGGGCGACCCAAUAAGAGAUGGCUUGAUUUAAGAAAGGCUUGUGGGUUCGGGAAUUCAAAACGGGUUUUCGGUACAAAGCGUUCCGCGGACGCUUUGUACGACAUCGUUUUGUCCCUUCGGGGACAAGACGCUUGUUGCGCUCGCGAAAAUCCCGGCGGCCGCA
rnacentral:tRNA from 1 species